rnacentral:tRNA from 1 species
CAGGAAGUAGUUUAAGUAGAAUAUCGGCUUUGGGCGUUGAUGGUGGGGCGUAAUGCCUUCUUCCUGA